AACAAUUCCAAGAAGAUCAUGUUAAACAAGAUAAAGAUUCACCUAAUCAAUUUUUGUUUGUUUUUACCAUAACCCUCUCUAAAAUUAAUUUUUAUUUCCUUAUAUAUUCACACAAUAUAUCUAACCAUAAAAAACCAAUUUUUAUAAUAAAACCAAAUAAAAAUUUUGCCUUUGUUUCUUUGCCUUUUCUUUAACCAUCAGUUUCUUCGAUUUGUUGAUCUACUUUGUCUGAAAUGGGAAGCUGUUGAAUCUUUGUUCUUUGAGCUCAUUUGGGUCACUGAUAAGUGGCUCAUGGCUGAAGAAUAUCUAUAGCAAAAUUCAAGAGAGUGUAAAGUUGGGAUUUUUAUGAAAUGGGGUUUUCUUGAAAAAGUGAAAGAAUACAUCAAAUGAUGAAGGCAUAAAUCAUCAAACAAGGAAAGUGGAAAUGUUGUUAAAGAAGUUGUAAAAAAGGAGUCUUUUAAGGAUGGUUCUGCUGCUCAAUCUAUCCAUUUGAGCAAAGUUAAUUCAG